rfam:Gossypium arboreum cultivar AKA8401 contig_24248_1, whole genome shotgun sequence.
AACCCAUGGUGAAGGCACCUUCUCAAUAAAUCUUUAUACCACUCCCAUGCAUCAUAUAAGGUCUCUAAAUCCAUCUGUACAAAGAAAGAGGUAUCAUUCCUCAAUUU